GACGAACGCUGGCGGCGUGCUUAACACAUGCAAGUCGAACGGAAAGGCCCUGCUUUUGUGGGGUGCUCGAGUGGCGAACGGGUGAGUAACACGUGAGUAACCUGCCCUUGACUUUGGGAUAACUUCAGGAAACUGGGGCUAAUACCGGAUAGGAGCUCCUGCUGCAUGGUGGGGGUUGGAAAGUUUCGGCGGUUGGGGAUGGACUCGCGGCUUAUCAGCUUGUUGGUGGGGUAGGGGCUUACCAAGGCUUUGACGGGUAGCCGGCCUGAGAGGGUGACCGGCCACAUUGGGACUGAGAUACGGCCCAGACUCCUACGUGGGGCAGCAGUGGGGAAUAUUGCACAAUGGGCGGAAGCCUGAUGCAGCAACGCCGCGUGCGGGAUGACGGCCUUCGGGUUGUAAACCGCUUUCGCCUGUGACGAAGCGUGAGUGACGGUAAUGGGUAAAGAAGCACCGGCUAACUACGUG
rnacentral:rRNA from 1 species